CUAAUAUAGGGAUAGAACGUGUGUGUGUGUGAUCAAGGCGGGUGUUAGACAGUGUGUGUGGCACCCUACAGCAUCUAGGAGUGUCUUUGCUCCUCUCAUCAGUCAGACAGUCGGAGGCCUACCUGGCUGCAGUGGGGAGGUUCGUCAAUGUGGGGUUUCCUAAGGCAGAGGACAGGGGCAGACCCCACAGUCUGCUUGUGUGUGGACAGACAGAGGGCCAGGCGGAACAGAGUGUAUGUGCUGUACGAGAUGCUCUACACAUGCUGCAUACUACUACCUGGGGGCCCAAACACAGGACUGGAGCUACAGAAAGAACCGCUUACACACACACAGACACACACACAAACACACACACAGACGUGAUGGAGCCUUGUUGUGUAAUUUCCGUGGGCAGGACUUUUGACUUCCUGUUACACCACACCCUCCGUCAAACACAGACACGCACACUCCGUCACACUUGGACACCCCUGCCGCCUCGGGGAUGUUAGCAGAGGCCCUACUGAGUGUGCCCAGACAGAUAUACUCCCACAAUCCUCGGCGCUACCUUGAGGCUCUCGCACACACUCUCAGCAGCAUACGUAACCAUGGUAACUCUCCGGACCCGCUGGAGACAGUGCUGUUCUGGUAGUGGAUGGUUCUAAUAUGGUCCAGGCUGACACUAGGUCAAGGUCUGGGUCAGGGGUAAAGGAGGUGACAGUUUGGUCAAGCUCUGGCUCUAGUUCAGGUGUGGAGUCAGGUCCUGUAUGUAUCAUCUGAUCCUGGCUGUUCUACAGUGUCUCAGGAGUCUAGUGUCUGUGGACACUGUACUACACGCUAAUACCUCAAACACCUGUCAGAGAGAAGAGGAGGAGGGUGACGACUGAGAACUCAUACUUGAUUUUAUUUCAUUGUUCAUCCAAAAGUUUUGUAUUCAAUUCUUGAAAAAGUAAUCUCCUUGUGUAGUAUGUCUUUGCAUAUGAAUUUCUGUUAAUAAAUCCGAUUUGAUUAAAUGGU